rnacentral:rRNA from 1 species
GAUGAACGCUAGCGACAGGCUUAACACAUGCAAGUCGAGGGGCAGCACAGGUAGCAAUACCGGGUGGCGACCGGCGCACGGGUGAGUAACGCGUAUGCAACUUACCUAUCAGAGGGGGAUAACCCGGCGAAAGUCGGACUAAUACCGCAUGAAGCAGGGGUCCCGCAUGGGGAUAUUUGCUAAAGAUUCAUCGCUGAUAGAUAGGCAUGCGUUCCAUUAGGCAGUUGGCGGGGUAACGGCCCACCAAACCGACGAUGGAUAGGGGUUCUGAGAGGAAGGUCCCCCACAUUGGUACUGAGACACGGACCAAACUCCUACGGGAGGCAGCAGUGAGGAAUAUUGGUCAAUGGCCGAGAGGCUGAACCAGCCAAGUCGCGUGAGGGAUGAAGGUUCUAUGGAUCGUAAACCUCUUUUAUAAGGGAAGAAAGUGCGGGACGUGUCCCGUUUUGUAUGUACCUUAUGAAUAAGGAUCGGCUAACUCCGUG